rnacentral:rRNA from 1 species
CCCUUAGAUGUUCUGGGCCGCACGCGCGCUACACUGAUGCAUUCAACGAGUCUAAAACCUGCUCUGAUAGGGGUGGGUAAUCUUUUGAAUGUGCAUCGUGAUUGGGAUAGAUGAUUGCAAUUUUUCAUCUUCAACGAGGAAUGCCUAGUAAACGCAAGUCAUCAGCUUGCAUUGAUUACGUCCCUGCCCUUUGUACACACCGCCCGUCGCUCCUACCGAUUGAAUGAUCCGAUGAAUAUCAUGGAUUGAGGAUGCAAGUAGGUUAGCCUAUCUUCAUCUUCGAGAAGUGAAGUAAAUCUUACCAUUUAGAGGAAGGAGAAGUCGUAACA